CUCUCUUCUUGAAGGCCGCCAUAUUGGAAUUGAUUUCACAUGAAAGUUCAAAAAUACAUUCAAAAACACUCGCUUUUUGCUUGCUCUGGCUUUAGUAUUUUUAUUUUUUGUUAAACUGUUGAAACCAUGGGACGUCUUCGCCGUAAACGAAUGCAUAAAAACAUCAAAGACCAAAAGAAAAAGCAUCGAACAAGACAACGAACGAAGGACAUCGAUCAGAUUCACACAGAUUUAGAAGCAGGAAACUCGGUGAAAUUAUCGUCACAGAAUGACCCAGACCUGCCAGGCAGUGGACAGCAUUACUGUCUGCAGUGUGCGUAAGUAUGCUAGGUUUUUAGGGGUUGGAAAAAAUAAAUAAAUAUAUGUGAUUUUAUAUAAAAUAUGGCCAGUGCUUUGGUUUUAAAAGAAUGUUAGUGG